rnacentral:rRNA from 1 species
GCGUAUUGGAAAGCUACGGCCGGAAGAUGCGUUAUCUAGUGGCGGACGGGUGAGUAACACGUGGGUAACCUGCCUUAUGGAGGGGGAUAACAGAGAGAAAUCACUGCUAAUACCGCAUAAGCACACAUUGCCGCAUGGCAGAGUGUGAAAAGAUUUAUCGCCAUAAGAUGGACCCGCGUCUGAUUAGCCAGUUGGCAGGGUAAAAGCCUACCAAAGCAACGAUCAGUAGCCGAUCUGAGAGGAUGACCGGCCACAUUGGGACUGAGACACGGCCCAAACUCCUACGGGAGGCAGCAGUGGGGAAUAUUGCACAAUGGGGGAAACCCUGAUGCAGCGACGCCGCGUGAGUGAAGAAGUAUUUCGGUAUGUAAAGCUCUAUCAGCAGGGAAGAUAAUGACAGUACCUGACUAAGAAGCCCCGGCUAACUACGUGCCAGCAGCCGCGGUAAUACGUAGGGGGCAAGCGUUAUCCGGAUUUACUGGGUGUAAAGGGAGCGUAGACGGAGUGGCAAGUCUGAAGUGAAAACCCUGGGCUUAACCUGGGGACUGCUUUGGAAACUGUUAAUCUAGAGUGUUGGAGAGGUAAGUGGAAUUCCUGGUGUAGCGGUGAAAUGCGUAGAUAUCAGGAAGAACACCGGAGGCGAAGGCGGCUUACUGGACAAUAACUGACGUUGAG